rnacentral:rRNA from 1 species
GAGUUUGAUCAUGGCUCAGAACGUACGCUGGCGGCACGCCUAACACAUGCAAGUCGAACGAAGUAGCAAUACUUAGUGGCAGACGGGUGAGUAACAUGUAGGUAUCUGCCCUUUGGCCUGGAAUAACACGAGGAAACUUGUGCUAAUACCGGAUAAGUCUUUACGGAGAAAGCUUUAUGCACCAUUGGAUGAGCCUGCACUUGAUUAGUUGGUUGGUGGGGUAAUGGCCUACCAAGACUGUGAUCAAUAGCUGAUUUGAGAGGAUGAUCAGCCACAUUGGGACUGAGACACGGCCCAAACUCCUACGGGAGGCAGCAGUGGGGAAUCUUGCACAAUGGAGGAAACUCUGAUGCAGCGAUGCCGCGUGAGUGAAGAAGGCCCUUGGGUUGUAAAGCUCUUUCGUCGGGGAAGAAAAUGACUGUACCCGAAUAAGAAGGUCCGGCUAACUUCGUGCCAGCAGCCGCGGUAAUACGAAGGGACCUAGCGUAGUUCGGAAUUACUGGGCCUAAAGAGUUCGUAGGUGGUUGAAAAAGUUAGUGGUGAAAUCCCAGAGCUUAACUCUGGAACUGCCAUUAAAACUUUUCAGCUAGAGUAUGAUAGAGGAAAGCAGAAUUUCUAGUGUAGAGGUGAAAUUCGUAGAUAUUAGAAAGAAUACCAAUUGCGAAAGGCAGCUUUCUGGAUCAUUACUGACACUGAGGAACGAAAGCAUGGGUAGCGAAGAGGAUUAGAUACCCUCGUAGUCCAUGCCGUAAACGAUGUGUGUUAGACGUUGGAAAUUUAUUUUCAGUGUCGC